GACGAACGCUGGCGGCGUGCCUAACACAUGCAAGUCGAACGGGGUAAUGACUUCGGUUAUUACUUAGUGGCGAACGGGUGAGUAACGCGUGAGGAACCUGCCUUUGUAUGGGGGAUAACACAGGGAAACUUGUGCUAAUACCGCAUAACAUAUACCUUUCGCAUGUGAGGUAUAUCAAAGAUUUAUUGUACAAAGAUGGGCUCGCGUCUGAUUAGCUAGUUGGUGAGGUAACGGCCCACCAAGGCGACGAUCAGUAGCCGGACUGAGAGGUUGAACGGCCACAUUGGGACUGAGAUACGGCCCAGACUCCUACGGGAGGCAGCAGUGGGGAAUAUUGGGCAAUGGGCGCAAGCCUGACCCAGCAAUGCCGCGUGAAGGAAGAAGGCCUUCGGGUUGGUAAACUU
rnacentral:rRNA from 1 species